UCAUAACGACGGGACGGUGGUCUGAAU
rnacentral:sRNA from 1 species